rnacentral:rRNA from 1 species
AUGUAUGAGAAGAAUGGUGAGAAGGUACAGAAGUUCAUAAAAUACCACCAAAACAAACCAAUAAACUUUAAAGGCAGCCAACCAAAGCGUAUACUAACAAAACCCCAAAAAACUAUUGUAUCAAAAAACCAAAAAGAAGAAAGCAAAACUAGGGCAAUACUUAUAUACUCCUACAACUAUAGCUGCUGCAGGUCAGGGGGAGCUCGUAUGCAGAGGCAGACUCCUCACUGUGUUGGCGCCGGCCAGCUUAUCAUUGCCUAUCACUUCGUACUAAUGGCAUGCCAUUGUGAAUUAACGAGCUUGGAUUUAUUUUUGCCUUUUGCUGAGGCGGAUUUUGAACACCCACUGGAAUGA